rnacentral:rRNA from 1 species
UGCCGGUAAGUAACCGGAGGAAGGUAGGGGAGGUGACGUCAAAUACAUCAUGCCCCUUAUGACCUGGGCUACACACGUGCUACAAUGGUUGGUACAACGAGUUGCGAGUCGGUGACGGCGAGCUAAUCUCUUAAAGCCAAUCUCAGUUCGGAUUGUAGGCUGCAACUCGCCUACAUGAAGUCGGAAUCGCUAGUAAUCGCGGAUCAGCACGCCGCGGUGAAUACGUUCCCGGGCCUU